rnacentral:ncRNA from 1 species
GCAGGGUAAAGUAUUGAGCGUUAAGUUCUAUUGUUACGGAAUGUUGAACAUAGCCGAAGGCCAAAUACGGUCGCGAUUCAAUACUUGCAUUCACUGC